AACAGAACUAGUCCAUUUUUCUAUCAACAUAAGUACAAAGUUUUAAUUGGUAGAGAACAAAUGAUAGUACAUCUGUUUGCUUAAAAGCCUACAAAAAGGUCCAAAAACUGAAUAAUCAUUGGAAACAACAAUUAUUUCUUCUUCUGUAAUACCUUUACCUUCACUCUUCUUUCUCCUUCCCAUGAUAAUUUUUUGCUCCAACUCUAGAAUGAUUCUUGCAAGCCAUAUCGGUUUUUCCAGUUGAAAUCAUGAAAUAUACCAUGAUAUUUCAAUACAUAGUCCAUUUCCGUAGCCCAUAAAAGCAGCUUUCCAAAAAUCACUCAUAAAUUCAGAAUUGUUUUCUUCAUCAUCUAGCUGUUCAGAUACAACAUAAUAUGUCCCUGAUAUACGAUGAUCACCACAACUUUUUGUAACGGGAAAUCCACGUAAUCCAUCAUUCCCUUCAUAUGAAUUGUUCUCAAAGGUCUGAAAUUGAUUUCCUUGAGGAAUGCACCCUUUGUUAGGACCAGAAAUAAGCAGGUGUAGAUGCGGAAGCUAGCAAUGCAAACAUCGAAAGACCAUGAGUAAGAAGACAACGAGAAAUAUACCAAUAGACACAAAGACUUAACGUGGUUCGGUCAAUGGGGCCGCCUUUGAAAAAAAAGGAACUCGCUAGGCCUUCAGAACAAAGUAUCGACCUACAUCCACAAAGGAGAUGAGCAAUUCACUAUAAAUAUGAGAGUACAAAAUACAGAGGGAAACAAACUCAACCAAAUUCACUCAGAAUAAAUGGGAGGUUCACACAAGUGAUAACGUAUCAAGCUUGUGACCCAUAAAUUCUACCCCUAACCAAAA
rnacentral:misc_RNA from 1 species